rnacentral:rRNA from 1 species
GAUGAACGCUGGCGGCGUGCCUAAUACAUGCAAGUAGAACGCUGAAGGAGGAGCUUGCUCUUCUGGAUGAGUUGCGAACGGGUGAGUAACGCGUAGGUAACCUGCCUGGUAGCGGGGGAUAACUAUUGGAAACGAUAGCUAAUACCGCAUGACAACAGUUAUUGCAUGAUAACUGUUUAAAAGGGGCAACUGCUCCACUACCAGAUGGACCUGCGUUGUAUUAGCUAGUUGGUGAGGUAACGGCUCACCAAGGCGACGAUACAUAGCCGACCUGAGAGGGUGAUCGGCCACACUGGGACUGAGACACGGCCCAGACUCCUACGGGAGGCAGCAGUAGAGAAUCUUCGGCAAUGGACGGAAGUCUGACCGAGCAACGCCGCGUGAGUGAAGAAGGUUUUCGGAUCGUAAAGCUCUGUUGUAAGAGAAGAACGAGUGUGAGAGUGGAAAGUUCACACUGUGACGGUAUCUUACCAGAAAGGGACGGCUAACUACGUG